rnacentral:lncRNA from 1 species
CCAGCCCAAAUAUUUAGGUAAACAGGAAGUUGUUAUAUGAUGAAUCUGAAAAUGCUUCACAUGGUAUGGAUUGAAAUAUAGUAUACAGUAUAGUAAACACCCACAUUUUUAAAGCUGGGGUAUAAUUACAAUGCCUUAUUUGGGCCUAAAAUAAAAUAUUGUUUGUUUCCCCGAUCCUGACCGACCCUGCAAAAACCGUGCUACGCAUAAAAUUUUAUUGUCAAAACUAAGUA